rnacentral:piRNA from 1 species
CAGGAUCACAGAAAACCCUUGGAGUUGUU